UCUCACUUCAUUUCUUUUGUCAGUAAUAUUUAACUCAGACUGUCUGUUGUGGACAUAAGUUUUACAUGGACCCGAUGAAAGUAAUGGAAGUAUUGAUUUAUGAUUAUCUUACCAGAUGUAACUGCAUGCAUGUAUUUAUUAAUGUGUAUACAAUAUGUGUUUGUGUGUGUGUCAUACAUUCACACCGUUUAUUUCACCACUCAACCCUACACUUGAACCAUGAUGUUUCCCUCGAAAAGGAAGUGGUGUGUCGGUGUGAGCGGGACACUUAUGCCCUGACAAGAGACAAUUUUUAUUUAUUUCAUAAAAAAAAACCGUCGCGUUAAACUAACGGACAAAGACAACAAGCACCUGAAACUCGAUGACCAAAAAUAUUUUUAUUAUUACAUAACACACUUAUAUACAAUCCAAAGAAAUUUUUAGACAAAUGCAACAAAAAGAAAGUUACCAAGUCUUCACAUUAUCAUUGUCCUGUGUACAUUGACAGUCAUCACCGGGCAAAGUGCCAAAGAUGAAAUCACUUCUGUGUCCCCGACUCGCACUGCACUGACAAGUGUAUUGGCAAAGUACUGGCAAACAAGUUGGGAACAAUAUUGACAAAUGUCUAGAACUUCGCCACACAGCCAUUGAUUCCUCUCAGGUGUCCGACGACUUUUGCCCGGUUGAGAAAUACCUUUAGACCUCUCAGUGAAUAUGCUUUCUGCGUACAUCUCAUAAUGCGAUAUGUUGCUGAAUUAUUGUUACAGUUUCAUUGUGUAUGCGUACAUGUAUGACAAGUUAACUGUCAGAGCUAAUUUAGUCAGUCGUGCAUGUGUUGUGACAUGUUUGGUAAACAUCAGAGUAAAUAUCGUUGCCCGUCUUUGUGUCCGACACUGGGAAAGCCCAAUACACUUGUGACAGCUCUGAGUGUCGAUAGGAUAAUAAAAAUGAUGAGACCAAAGUUGAUCUUCUUUGAUUAGACGGGUGGCUAAAGUGUAAACAACACCUGGUCUCGCACGGACACUUGCACUCGACGAGGAGAGAAUCUGCGCUUUGGCAAAAAUCCAGUCUCAAAGAUGACAUGGACGACCUGUCGUCGGGCAGUGUACUUCACCUUCUUCUUUCUCUCUACAAUGAAGACUGUCAUGUUUAUCUUCGCAACAGUUAUGCCACGAAGAGAACGGAAUCGAGAAUGUGGUCGUUGGAUUGUAAAGGAGGAAGGGGGGAUUGGUGUUUUCCGCCGAGCUAUCAACUAAGGCUAUAUCAUGGUAAGGCAGCCAGCCCUGUCAACAGAUGCAACAUGAAGAGAAAGAACAGCAUGCCUGAGACGAGAGCUGAACCCAGGGCAGCCAACUGUCACUGUAUUGGUGACAGGCGCUACCUGACCGCCCGUUGGAUUGGUAAAGGCGAUUUGAUGGCUCCACAUCUAAUGUCACAUACCAUCAAAUAUUCUGUACACGCUCGUCACUGUCAAGAUAUAGAAAGUGCCACAAAAGCGACCUCUUCAAUUUGUUCAUCGUUCCCAAUAUUCCGAGUAAGCUCUUCAUUCAUCUCUUUGUUUGGCGAACCAAGCACCUCCUGGUACCGAAAGGUUUUCAUGACCACACCUGCAUUAGUAAUGUAUUGUUGUUUCCUCCAUAAGAACACAAUAAUGUGCUGACACUUCUACCCGCGGCUUAUCAGCGGGGAGAGGAGUUGGCUGGACUUUGCACUGAGGAGACUGUGUCGAGUUGCGGUAAAGACCAGAACCAGGACACGGUCUGGAACUCCUUGACCUGCUGGAGUAUCAAUGCCAACAUCUUUGAAUAAACUCCAUAGUACCGAAGCAGAAGGACAUGCAAAGAAGAUGGAGGACAAAUUUCGUGCCUAGAGCAAUAUCUGCGACUCAGUAUCUCAUAGCAAAGUCUCUGACAACAUGACAGGACAUUGAGGUAAAAAGAUCGACUGUCAAAGCUGGACUUCUUGACGCACCUGAGCUAUCUACCAAAGUCUUGCUACAGCGAACUUACUGAACGAUUUUAACAACAUAAUUUGAAUUGCCCCUAACAUUACCAGCAUGCAAGAAGUACUUUGAAAAGGAGCAUCAGUCCACCCAAAUACUGAUGCACGAUUCCAGAAGUCACAAAGAAAGCAUCAGUUUCAACCUUUUCAAAGGAAUUAUGACAUCUCCAGAAGUAUGCAAAUCAAAGAGCUAUCCGUCAAUCCAGUCGUUGGCAUCCUCAUCUUCUGGACAACAGCUUGCAAGUCCCCAAGAGUUCAGCGUCAGAAAAAUUUUACAUCGAAAUAAAGAAAAACAUUUUGUUUCCAACAAAGACAUUCUUUUCAAAAUCUAGAUCAUCUUUUCAAACGAAGAGAUCACGAAAAGAUUCUCAUUACUGUCCCCAACAUUCCAGCGUCGAGUAAACCGGUUUCAGAUAGUUGUUUCAGGCUUACAGGCGGA